CCAAAAACAUAGCCUUUGACUUAAUCAAAGGUGUAACCUGCCCAGUGAUGAUUAAAUAAAAAAUUUUAAUGAAAUUUGAAUAUUAUUUAACGGAUGCGGUAACUCUGACUGUAAUAAAGUAGCAUAAUUAGUUGUCAUUUAAUUGGUGGAGAGAAUGAAUGGUUAUACGAGCAUUUCAUUGUCUUAAUUAAAAAUUUUUGAAAUUAAAGUAAUAGUGAAGAUGCUAUUUAGAAUCGUAAGACGAAAAGACCCUAUAGAGCUUUACUAUAAUCUUAAAAUGAGACUUAAUAAAAUUUUUAUUAUCAUCUUUAAGAUUGGUAGUUUAGUUGGGGCGACUAUCUUUUAAAAUUAACAAAGAUAAGCAAUAUUAAUAUAUGAAUUUAUUGUAUAAUUUAUGAAUUUAACAAUUAUUAAAAUAGGCUAUAUUGACCCGUUAUAAUAAUUAAAAAUAUUUAACGAUUAAUAAAUAAAAGCUACCUUAGGGAUAACAGGAUAAUUUUGUUUUAGAGCUCUUAUCAAUUACAAAGUUUGUCACCUCUAUGUUGAAUUAAGAUAUCCAUAUAAUGCAGAAGUUAUAAAAGGUAGGUCUGUUCGACCUUUAAAAUCUUACAUGAUUUGAGU
rnacentral:rRNA from 1 species